rnacentral:misc_RNA from 1 species
GAAAAUAUGGAUUCUUUUUUUCUUUAAAUGAGACUAGAAAAGACGAGAAAAUACUUGUUGGAGGCACCACUAAAUAAACAUGAAAAACAACAUUCUUUCACCUACACAUGAACAACACUUGAUAGCAAUUGGCAUAGAAGACAAUCCCCAGUUGGACUUCGCCUUUUUCUUGGGGUCUCCUAUGCCAUUCUCUUUUAAGAAAAACCAUUAAUUACAGUAAUUUGAUGAUGCUAAUUCACAUAAAAAAUUAAAAAGCAAGACGAUGAGCCAUCUUCCUUUGGAGCCAGAUUGCAAAAAACAGACACUAUCAGAAGAACAAGAUUGAAACCAGUUGCGCAAUUUAAUUUAGUUCACCAACAUAUGGUCAAAUCCUCCCCCAGCCUGAAGCCCUGGGACCCGAUUCAUUCCAACAUUGUGAAGCAACUGCUGCAGCCAUCGUCUUGUUGUUGGAUCUUCCUGGAAGCAUUAGGAGACCACAAAUAUUAUGAAUGUGCCUUAAAAGACACUAAAUUAGUCAAAAAUUGGGAAAAAGGGUGUUAUUCAUCUUUUGGAACUUCAUAUAUAAAUAUUCCAUUUCAUAAAUUGAAAAGUGUUGCUCAGACCAAAUAACCUGUUCCCAAUAAAAAUAUAUAUAUAGUAAAUGCAAAUUAUGCAAUCAUCAUGCUGCAAAUGUCACCAAGUUACUUUAGUCAACUAUACUGCCAUAAUCUCCAUUUAACACGAUCCUAGGAAACAAUUACCACCUCAAGAGUGAUAAAACCAUUCUGCACCUAAAAUCAGAUUAUUGUCAAACAUAGAGAUAUCGGUACUUGAAAUUUUAGCCAGUUGUCCAAUCAUGCCUAACUGUGUUCAUGCAUGCACCAUAAUGAACAAUAGGAUAACAAGCACAAAAACUACCUCACUAGCUCGGAAAACCAAGUAACACGCAUACUUGUUUUCCUCCUAGCUUGGCAUUAUUGUAACGUAUAAAUUGUGGAGCAUUCUUAGAAGCCAAAAUCAACUACUCUAUAUCCCACAGCAGAUCAAAAUUCAUUUUUAAGAGAAACAAGCUUCAUAUUUCACUUCAUCAGCAGAUCAAGAAGUUUGUUUUGACAUCACAAAUUUCAAAAGCAGUACUUACACGAAGGCAACUACUGAAAGUAG